rnacentral:tRNA from 1 species
GCUUUUGUGGCGCAACGGGCAGUACACUCGGUGCGUAUUUGAGAGGUCCGGGGUUCGAAUCCCGGCAAGAGCA